UACGGGGGGAGCAAGCGUUGUUCGGAUUUACUGGGCGUAAAGGGCGCGUAGGCGGCCAGCACAAGUCAGUUGUGAAAUCUCCGAGCUUAACUCGGAACGGUCAACUGAUACUGUGCGGCUAGAGUGCGGAAGGGGCAACUGGAAUUCUUGGUGUAGCGGUGAAAUGCGUAGAUAUCAAGAGGAACACCUGCGGCGAAGGCGGGUUGCUGGGCCGACACUGACGCUGAGGCGCGGAAAGCCAGGGGAGCGAACGGG
rnacentral:rRNA from 1 species